GACGAACGCUGGCGGCGUGGAUUAGGCAUGCAAGUCGAACGGUAUCAUCCUUUCGGGGGUGAGAGAGUGGCGAACUGGUGAGUAACACGUAGGUUAUCUACCCUCAAGACGGGGACAACCCAGGGAAACUUGGGCUAAUACCGGAUGUGAGCAACUUUUAGUUGUUUGAAAGGUGGCGUAAGCUGUCGCUUGGGGAUGAGCCUGCGUCCUAUUAGUUAGUUGGUGAGGUAACGGCUCACCUAGGCAAUGAUAGGUAGGCGGCCUUAACGGGUGGUCGCCCACACUGGGAUUGAGAUACGGCCCAGACUCCUACGGGAGGCAGCAGUCGAGAAUAGUCUACAAUGGUCGGAAGACUGAUAGUGACGACGCCGCGUGAACGAUGAAUCCCUUCGGGGUGUAAAGUUCUUUUAUAUGUGAGCAGUGCUUCUUAUAUUAACAGUAGUGGGGAAGAGAGAUAUUAGCAUAUAGAAUAAGCAACCGGCUAACUCCGUGCCAGCAGCCGGGUAAA
rnacentral:rRNA from 1 species